GCCUGGCUGGCUCAGUUGGUACAGCAUGUGGCUUUUGAUCUCCAGGUAGUGGGUUCAAGACCCACAUUAAGCA
rnacentral:tRNA from 1 species